UACGGAGGGUGCAAGCGUUAUCCGGAUUCACUGGGUUUAAAGGGUGCGUAGGAUGGGCAGGUAAGUCAGUGGUGAAAUCCACCGGUUAACUCGGAACUGCCUUGAUACUAUCUGUCUUGAAUAUUGUGGAGGUGAGCGGAAUAUGUCAUGUAGCGGUGAAAUGACUUAGAUAUGACAUAGAACACCAAUUGCGAAAGGCAGCUCGCUACACAUAUAUUGACUCUGAGGCACGAAAGCGUGGGGAUCAAACAGG
rnacentral:rRNA from 1 species